AGAAUAUUAAAAAGGUUAAGCUUCUAACUUAUUCCUAAAACGUAAAAUCGCUUAUAUUCUU
rnacentral:tRNA from 1 species